rnacentral:rRNA from 1 species
GACGGGAGGUGCAAGCGUUGUUCGGAAUUACUGGGCGUAAAGCGUGUGUAGGCGGCUUUGCAAGUCGGGUGUGAAUCCCCAAGCUUAACUUGGGAACUGCAUUCGAGACUGCAUUGCUAGAGUAUGGGAGAGGGAAGUGGGAAUUUCCGGUGUAGCGGUGAAAUGCGUAGAUAUCGGAAGGAACAUCAGUGGCGAAAGCGACUUCCUGGACCAAUACUGACGCUCAUGUGCGAAAGCG